GACUUAAAUCCGUCGACUUUAAAUCGUGAGGGUUCAAGUCCUCUAUCCCCAAAAAAGCUAUUUGACUCCCAAAAAACUAUUAACUAUCCGC
rnacentral:tRNA from 1 species